UACGUAGGGCGCGAGCGUUGUCCGGAAUUAUUGGGCGUAAAGAGCUCGUAGGCGGUUUGUUGCGUCGGAUGUGAAAGCCCCGGGGGCUUAACCCCGGUCUGCAUUCGAUACGGGCAGACUGGAGUGUGGUAGGGGAGAUCGGAAUUCCUGGUGUAGCGGUGAAAUGCGCAGAUAUCAGGAGGAACACCGGUGGCGAAGGCGGAUCUCUGGGCCAUUACUGACGCUGAGGAGCGAAAGCGUGGGGAGCGAACAGGA
rnacentral:rRNA from 1 species